ensembl:miRNA
GCCCGCGCUCAGCCGUGCCCUAGCAGCGGGAACAGUUCUGCAGUGAGUGAUCAGUAAUCUGGAGUAUUGUUUCCGCUGCCAGGGUAAGUCUGGGACUGCCGUUCGGGCCUACC